GUCUGACGGAGCACGCCGCGUGAGCGAAGAAGGCCUUCGGGUCGUAAAGCUCUGUUGUCAGGGAAGAACAAGUGCCGGAGUAACUGCCGGCACCUUGACGGUACCUGACCAGAAAGCCACGGCUAACUACGUGCCAGCAGCCGCGGUAAUACGUAGGUGGCAAGCGUUGUCCGGAAUUAUUGGGCGUAAAGCGCGCGCAGGCGGUCCUUUAAGUCUGAUGUGAAAGCCCACGGCUCAACCGUGGAGGGUCAUUGGAAACUGGGGGACUUGAGUGCAGAAGAGGAGAGUGGAAUUCCACGUGUAGCGGUGAAAUGCGUAGAGAUGUGGAGGAACACCAGUGGCGAAGGCGACUCUCUGGUCUGUAACUGACGCUGAGGCGCGAAAGCGUGGGGAGCGAACAGGAUUAGAUACCCUGGUAGUCCACGCCGUAAACGAUGAGUGCUGUUUAGAGGGUUUCCGCCCUUUAGUGCUGCAGC
rnacentral:rRNA from 1 species